UGGGGAAUAUUGCACAAUGGGCGCAAGCCUGAUGCAGCCAUGCCGCGUGUGUGAAGAAGGCCUUCGGGUUGUAAAGCACUUUUCAGCGAGGAGGAAGGUGGUGAGCUUAAUACGCUCAUCAAUUGACGUUACUCGCAGAGGAAGCACCGGCUAACUCCGUGCCAGCAGCCGCGGUAAUACGGGAGGGUGCAAGCGUUAAUCGGAAUUUACUGGGCGUAAAGCGCACGCAGGCGGUUUGUUAAGUCAGAUGUGAAAUCCCCCGGGCUCAACCUGGGAACUGCAUUUGAAACUGGCAAGCUAGAGUCUCGUAGAGGGGGGUAGAAUUCCAGGUGUAGCGGUGAAAUGCGUAGAGAUCUGGAGGAAUACCGGUGGCGAAGGCGGCCCCCUGGACGAAGACUGACGCUCAGGUGCGAAAGCGUGGGAGCAAACAGGAUUAGAUACCCU
rnacentral:rRNA from 1 species